rnacentral:lncRNA from 10 species
AGAAAAACAGGCUUGCAGACUGCAGAUGAGAGAGUCUGGAGCAGAGACAAUUUUAACUUAGCCAUUCCUAAUUUAUCUCAAGCGUUUUCAAUUCAUCUUCACUGCUCUAUGCACACAGGAACACCAGAUUGCCAUCCCUGGGGAACAGAAUGCAACCCGGGAUCUAGAGAGCUGUCACAUUCCAAGAAAUAUUUAAAUUGUGCUGAUUUUCUUCUGGAGAACUGAGCCCAGGGAAUGAAACUCUCCAUCAAGUCAUGGCUUUGCGGGCAAUAGAUCAGAGGAUAUUGCCAGUUUUCUAAUGGAUUAUUGUUAUCGGGCAGGUUUUCUCUGAAGCUUCUCAGCUGCUGUUACAUUCUACUUGGAUGGCUGUAAAAUGGGAUAAUGUUCACCCCACCACCCUGCUGUGAGCUCAGAUAUGUGAUACUUUAGACUGUAAAGCACUAUAACAAU